rnacentral:lncRNA from 1 species
CGGUCUCUGUUUGGAAAAAAUAUAUUAGGCACAAUGGGUACUUGCUUCCAUUUGUGUAAUCUGAAGCUUUUAUUUAGCAUGUUCAAAAACAAAAUAAAUGAGAAUAUACGUUUUAUUCAAACUGUUAAAUUGUGACUAUUUUUUUAAUGAAAAUCUGUUUGUCCCAGUUAUCUGUAUGGAUAAAAACUGCAUAUGUGACACCAUAGUCAUGACUGAAUUCAGUCAUCUUGCACUACAACUUUCAUCUUAAUUUAUUUGAAUAUUCAAUUGAUAAUACAUUAAAAAUUAGAGAUUGGUAGCAGUUGGGUGUGUGCAAUAUCCUACACAACAAGUAAAUGCUCUGAGGGGUAUAUACAGUUUUUACAGAAGUGCAUAAGAAAACUGUUGACUGAAUUCAGUCAAUUUACAAACAUCAAGAAUCAUCUUCCUUUUUUCAAAACUAGAUUAUAGUAUUAUAGAAAAAAAAUUCCAAGUUGAUUCUAAAUAUACAUAUUAAUGUUAACAAUAACGAAAAUCUUGACUGAAUUCAGUCACUGGCACCAUUAGUCAUUGACAUUAUCAAG